UGAAAGACAUGGGUAGUGAGAUUUGACUAUCACAAAACAAUCUCACUAUUCUGUUUUUC
rnacentral:pre_miRNA from 15 species